rnacentral:rRNA from 1 species
CUUAAACAUGCAAGUCGAACGGAAAGGCCCUGCUUUUGUGGGGUGCUCGAGUGGCGAACGGGUGAGUAACACGUGAGUAACCUGCCCUUGACUUUGGGAUAACUUCAGGAAACUGGGGCUAAUACCGGAUAGGAGCUCCUGCUGCAUGGUGGGGGUUGGAAAGUUUCGGCGGUUGGGGAUGGACUCGCGGCUUAUCAGCUUGUUGGUGGGGUAGUGGCUUACCAAGGCUUUGACGGGUAGCCGGCCUGAGAGGGUGACCGGCCACAUUGGGACUGAGAUACGGCCCAGACUCCUACGGGAGGCAGCAGUGGGGAAUAUUGCACAAUGGGCGGAAGCCUGAUGCAGCAACGCCGCGUGCGGGAUGACGGCCUUCGGGUUGUAAACCGCUUUCGCCUGUGACGAAGCGUGAGUGACGGUAAUGGGUAAAGAAGCACCGGCUAACUACGUGCCAGCAGCCGCGGUGAUACGUAGGGUGCGAGCGUUGUCCGGAUUUAUUGGGCGUAAAGGGCUCGUAGGUGGUUGAUCGCGUCGGAAGUGUAAUCUUGGGGCUUAACCCUGAGCGUGCUUUCGAUACGGGUUGACUUGAGGAAGGUAGGGGAGAAUGGAAUUCCUGGUGGAGCGGUGGAAUGCGCAGAUAUCAGGAGGAACACCAGUGGCGAAGGCGGUUCUCUGGGCCUUUCCUGACGCUGAGGAGCGAAAGCGUGGGGAGCGAACAGGCUUAGAUACCCUGGUAGUCCACGCUGUAAACGAUGGGUACUAGGUGUGGGGUCCAUUCCACGGGUUCCGUGCCGUAGCUAACGCUUUAAGUACCCCGCCUGGGGAGUACGGCCGCAAGGCUAAAACUCAAAGGAAUUGACGGGGCCCCGCACAAGCGGCGGAGCAUGCGGAUUAAUUCGAUGCAACGCGUAGAACCUUACCUGGGUUUGACAUGGAUCGGGAGUGCUCAGAGAUGGGUGUGCCUCUUUUGGGGUCGGUUCACAGGUGGUGCAUGGCUGUCGUCAGCUCGUGUCGUGAGAUGUUGGGUUAAGUCCCGCAACGAGCGCAACCCUUGUUCACUGUUGCCAGCACGUUAUGGUGGGGACUCAGUGGAGACCGCCGGGGUCAACUCGGAGGAAGGUGGGGAUGACGUCAAGUCAUCAUGCCCCUUAUGUCCAGGGCUUCACGCAUGCUACAAUGGCUGGUACAGAGAGUGGCGAGCCUGUGAGGGUGAGCGAAUCUCGGAAAGCCGGUCUCAGUUCGGAUUGGGGUCUGCAACUCGACCUCAUGAAGUCGGAGUCGCUAGUAAUCGCAGAUCAGCAACGCUGCGGUGAAUACGUUCCCGGGGCUUGUACACACCGCCCGUCAAGUCAUGAAAGUUGGUAACACCCGAAGCCGGUGGCCUAACCGUUGUGGGGGAGCCGUCGAAGGUGGGACUGGU